UACAGAGGUCCCAAGCGUUGUUCGGAUUCAUUGGGCGUAAAGGGUGCGUAGGCGGCGCGGUAAGUCGGGUGUGAAAUCUCGGGGCUUAACUCCGAAACUGCAUUCGAUACUGCCGUGCUUGAGGACUGGAGAGGAGACUGGAAUUUACGGUGUAGCGGUGAAAUGCGUAGAUAUCGUAAGGAAGACCAGUGGCGAAGGCGGCUACCUGGACUAACACUGACACUGAGAUACGAAAGCGUGGGGAGCAAACAGG
rnacentral:rRNA from 1 species